rnacentral:rRNA from 1 species
CAGUCGCCGCGGUAAUACGUAGGUGGCAAGCGUUGUCCGGAAUUAUUGGGCGUAAAGCGCGCGCAGGCGGAUAGGUCAGUCUGUCUUAAAAGUUCGGGGCUUAACCCCGUGAUGGGAUGGAAACUGCCAAUCUAGAGUAUCGGAGAGGAAAGUGGGAUUCCUAGUGUAGCGGUGAAAUGCGUAAAUAUUAGGAAGAACACCAGUGGCGAAGGCGACUUUCUGGACGAAAACUGACGCUGAGGCGCGAAAGCCAGGGGAGCGAACGGGAUUAGAGACCCCCGUAGUCCCUGUCCUUAUACAC